rnacentral:rRNA from 1 species
AUUGAACGCUGGCGGCAGGCCUAACACAUGCAAGUCGAGCGGAUGAAGGGAUCUUGCUCCUGGAUUCAGCGGCGGACGGGUGAGUAAUGCCUAGGAAUCUGCCUGGUAGUGGGUGAUAACGUCCGGAAACGGGCGCUAAUACCGCAUACGUCCUGAGGGAGAAAGUGGGGGAUCUUCGGAUCUCACGCUAUCAGAUGAGCCUAGGUCGGAUUAGCUAGUUGGUGGGGUAAAGGCCUACCAAGGCGACGAUCCGUAACUGGUCUGAGAGGAUGAUCAGUCACACUGGAACUGAGACACGGUCCAGACUCCUACGGGAGGCAGCAGUGGGGAAUAUUGGAAAAUGGGCGAAAGCCUGAUCCAGCCAUGCCGCGUGUGUGAAGAAGGUAUUCGGAUUGUAAAGCACUAUAAGUUGGGAAGAAGGGCAGUAAGUUAAUACCUUGCUGUUUUGACGUUACCAACAGAAUAAGCACCGGCUAACUUCGUG